AGCUCUAACAAUUAUAGAUACAAC
rnacentral:snRNA from 1 species